GAUGAACGCUGGCGGCGUGCCUAAUACAUGCAAGUCGAGCGAACAGACGAGAAGCUUGCUCUUCUGAUGUUAGCGGCGGACGGGUGAGUAACACGUGGAUAACCUACCUAUAAGACUGGGAUAACUUCGGGAAACCGGAGCUAAUACCGGAUAAUAUAUUGAACCGCAUGGUUCAAUAGUGAAAGACGGUUUUGCUGUCACUUAUAGAUGGAUCCGCGCUGCAUUAGCUAGUUGGUAAGGUAACGGCUUACCAAGGCAACGAUGCGUAGCCGACCUGAGAGGGUGAUCGGCCACACUGGAACUGAGACACGGUCCAGACUCCUACGGGAGGCAGCAGUAGGGAAUCUUCCGCAAUGGGCGAAAGCCUGACGGAGCAACGCCGCGUGAGUGAUGAAGGUCUUCGGAUCGUAAAACUCUGUUAUUAGGGAAGAACACAUGUGUAAGUAACUAUGCACGUCUUGACGGUACCUAAUCAGAAAGCCACGGCUAACUACGUG
rnacentral:rRNA from 1 species